AGCGUAGACGGAAUGGCAAGUCUGAUGUGAAAGACCGGGGCUCAACCCCGGGACUGCAUUGGAAACUGUCAAUCUAGAGUACCGGAGGGGUAAGUGGAAUUCCUAGUGUAGCGGUGAAAUGCGUAGAUAUUAGGAGGAACACCGGUGGCGAAGGCGGCUUACUGGACGGUAACUGACGUUGAGGCUCGAAAGCGUGGGGAGCAAACA
rnacentral:rRNA from 1 species